UGUUCUUCACAGGCACCAAAGUCACUUGCGCGACCAGCACCAGAGAUAUUACAAAAGUAUCAAUGCCAGCAUCCUCCUUAUUAGGUUUCCGAUGACGCAAUGAGUAUCUGUCAUGGCUGCACACUGAUGUCACUCACAGCACAUAGGUUGAAAUACACAAAUGUAUACCAUUGAGUUGAAAUAACCUACAUUACAGCAGUAAGGGUAUAUAUUGUAAAUGUACAAUUAUGCCGAUCCCGGUUGGAAACAGUAUUGACUUCAUUUGUAAGACUGCUGCAAAUCACAUUUUGGGAUGUUGCGGGACGCUGAGAUUCCCGUGCUCCGGGGUUUUCUGAAACCAAGCGGCGAGGCAACUGAAUGGAAGCAGAAUGUUUUCAGCGCUGCAGAGGUGGGUCCCGUGCUGCAGUCCUUGUUUGAUCGGGACUUUGAGGCGGUGCUGAUGAGUCCUCAGGUCUUGGACCUGCUGGGUGGAGGAGACUGCAGCGAUGGAGAGGCCAUUGAUGCCUACCUGAAGAGACGGGUCCUGGCCUACCUCAAUGACAGCACAGAGGAGGGCAAGGCUGACGGGUAGAAACAAUAUCUGGGGAGAUUGCUCUGUUGGCCCUGGCAGUCGCCAGCCUUCACCUCGUCAGAGUAACUGGACGAGUCCCCCUGUCACCAUCCAUGUCCCUGACCUGCUGCCCCCGGGCCCUGCUAUCCUCACUCACUGAGCCUGGGGCCCUGACCUCAGCCCUGCUCGGCAGUCUUCUACUGGAUGGAGAGUCUGUGUAAAGCCUGGUGUGGAACUCCUUCCUGCUGCUAGCCAGGGUCCCGCUGGUCAACUGUGCUAUCAAGCUGGGCAGC